GUCUAUAGCCAUGCAACCCAGAACAAGCGCAAUCCCGUCUGAUCUUGGAAGCUAAGCAGGAUCAGGCCUGUUAGUACUUGGAUGGGAAACCACCUAGGAAGAUCAGAUGCCGUAGGCA
rnacentral:rRNA from 1 species